rnacentral:lncRNA from 1 species
UAAAACACAGUUUAUGAUCUAUGCUGUUUUUAAGACCACCUCUACAAUUUAAAAGUUAAUACACUAAAAAAAUUCUUUAAAAAAUUAGGCUUUUAAUCUUGAGUGUUAAAAGUGUGAUGAAGCUCUGACUUAAAUUAUAACUUUAAAAACAUUUGUCAGUGACAGACUGUAGUUUUGUAAGAAGGGGGAAGAAAGCUUUUGUCUAACAAGUAACUCUGAACUGAAUUGUAUCCACGCUACAGGAAUGAAGUAUUUAGUUUUUUAGGUUGUUAAUUAACACUGUAUCAAACUCCCAGUACUUGAGAUAUAUUUUGUUGGAAAACAAAAACCACCAAUAAAACAAACAAAAAAAAAAGCCACUUUAACUAUAAAUGAAUGUCAACUUACAUGUAAAGUGUCAAAAAUAAACCAUCUGAAUUUAUAAUCUAAUUUUAAGUGGGACAUUGGCAUUAAUGUUUUACUCUAAGAAAAAUAAUUGGUAUAAAAUACUAUAUACAAGCUUCCCAAUAUAUUAUAUUUAGAAUACAAAGAUUUAAUUGCUCAGGUUUAGAAUAUCAUAAUCUGUCACAUAAACAAUUACUAUGCAUUCCUAAUUAGAAUCUAUAUAUUAGAUCUCUGCAUGUCAAAUUUUAGGAAGUUGAAGACACAAAAGGGACACAAGUACACACAAAACAGAUUUUUGGAAGCAUUUUUCUACAAAUGAAUUCUAUGUAGAAAAACUUUUUUAGAGUUCAUAAAAUAGAUUCCAAAGACUAAACUCAAUUUUGUAAUCAGGAUAUUUGUGUGUCUUAUACCAUUUGAAAAAUAUGGUUUUAGACAUCUCAAAUUUCAUUUAUAAUCCAAAAGCUAUAGCCAGUUGCUAUAGGUGUUUGUGUCCAUAGAGGACAUUUAUUUAAGGCAAUCAUUUACCUCGAUGAUAUCAUGUUUGCUUUAAAAGGGAAAGCGGUCUUUAAAUUGUCACCUGUUUAUGUGUUUACACAGUCUAAUUUUUAAUAAGAUUUCAGAGGAAGUAACUCUUUUACAAGUUUUCACUUGUGGUAUUUUCCAAUUAGGUAGUUUUGUAUAUUCUCAUUUUAAGUAAUUACUUUAGUCUUUUUAUUUAAAUUACAAUCAUUAGUUUGCCUCUAGCACUUUUAAGUUACUAUUAAAAUGUCUCAGUCCAAAUAUGUUUUUGAUCCUUUACCUGUUUUACCAGUAUAUUGAUUAUUCUUCUCUCCAUUUAUAGCUCUGCACCCACACACCCUUGUAGAACAUGAUAAAAGUAAGUGGAAAACUGAUUUAUGUGAAUCAAGGAACAGCUCACAGACGCCAUCUUCUUUUAACCAGCCAGGAUUUUCUUAAACAUAGUAUGAAUUUUUUCCCAACUACACAAAACUGACAUUAGAAUUUUAGAGAAAAGUUUUAGGGAAAAGUGGUGAAAUGGCUUAUGAUAAAAAGCUGUUGUACCUAAAACUACUGAUGUAUUAAAAGAUGUAAAUUCACAUACUUUCAUAAUUUUAAUACCACAGAAAAUACAACAUGCUUUUAGCCAUUCUUUUGUUUGUUUGUUUGUUUUAGAUAUUUCUUACCUGGUUAGAUCUUGUUGCACAGAAAUGUAAAUACUUCAUAAAAGUUUCUAAAAUGUAAGUAUUUUACAUCAACUCACCUUCACCUUCUGAUCUGCUAUUGAGCACCAACACACUUAAUGCUAACCGAGGCUUUUUUUUUUUUUAUGAAUCUCUCUAGUAAACAUUGAAUUCAUAUUAGAAGUAUAUGCAUUAUGCAAAAUAAUUGACAACCAAUAGUCUCAUUACAAAAUAAUUUGGCAUUUAUAUAUAAAUGCUAUUGACCUACCAAAUGACCACCAUGCUGACAGUCCUGUCUUCUACCACUGGAGUCACUUCACACAAUUCUGCAUAGAGCUGUACAUAUUCUGGACUGCUAAAAUAUCUAACAUUACAAAGCUUCAGAAUGGAUCCCCAGUGCUUCUUCCAAGGUAGAAAAGUGAAGGGAAGAUUUUGAAGGAGGAAGUAAUCCAGGCUUCGAGAGAUCUGACUUAGUCAUUGUUCUUGAGACCCAAUAGUUUAAUGUUGACGUGCUAUGAUCUUUGAACUAAGGAGGAAGUUGCAAAAAAAAAAAAUCUAAUUAACCCAGAAGAAUUUAGAUUUGUUUUAUUAGCCAACACUGCAAAUAUUCUUAUUAUGUGAAUCAGAAAUAGCUUCUUAAGGUAACUGUACAAACCUUAAAAAUUGCUUUGUUUCUGCUGUUCGAAACAGGGAAAUUGCUCCUGAUACCCUUAUUGAUUGACUUCAGAAGAUGUCUCACGAAAGUAGAGAAUCAUGAUACUGAGGAGCAGUGGGGUUCUUCAGAGUUGUAGCACAGUGGCUAGAAAAGUGUAGCCACUAAUACUAAAAGCCAAUUAUCAUUAUACAGUAUUGCUUUCAAUGUCUCAAAUUCCAACUAAUGGCUGAUCAUUUCACUGACAUUUUGAAUCACAAAGGACAAAUAAAAUCACUGAAUGCUUUGUUUUCAUACCCCAGUGAAAAGUAAAGAUAUGCUUUUCCAUCCUAAAUAAUAAAGAACCGUGGUGUCCCACAGAGUUGUAGAUAGCUGGAUGUGUGUGUGUAUGUGUGUGUGUGCUUUGUAGAUAUGUCUCUGUCAUCUAUGUAUUCUAACACUGAUGCUAAUAUUCUAACAUCUAAUAUUUCCUGGAAACUAUAAAUUCAAAACCAGUAGAACCAGAUUUUUCUCCCUCAGCUUAUGUGAACACUUUGGGACAGGACAGAUAAUUGGGAAAGUUUUUCAUAUUUGUUUUUCUUCUUGACAAGAUUUUCAUUUAAUUUAAUACAUGUCUCUUAAAAAUAGUUUCUUUUGAAGACUAACAACUAAUCGAGCUACUCCUCCCUGAUAUGAAAAAUCACUUUUAGAAGUAAAUACGUAGCUAUUGCAACAUUGGUCUCAGAGAAUUGCCCUAGGUUCACAUAUAACCCUCUUCUGGCCAUACACACCAAUAAAUUUUAAGGCACUGGAUCCCCACUUCGCUCUUGUUCAAUCCUUUUAUCCUUUUUUUUUAAUGCUUUGUACAAUCACAUGUAAAACUAUGAGCUACAAAACUCAAUAAAAUAUCAGU